rnacentral:rRNA from 1 species
CAUUAGGACUCUCGGCAACGGAUAUCUCGGCUCUUACAUCGAUGAAGAACGUAGCGAAAUGCGAUACUUGGUGUGAAUUGCAGAAUCCCGUGAACCAUCGAGUCUUUGAACGCAAGUUGCGCCCGAGGCCCUCGGGUCGAGGGCACGCCUGCCUGGGCGUCACGC